rnacentral:lncRNA from 1 species
CUUUCGAGAAUGGUGGAGCAGUGCGCAUUGGGUGGCCGGCGUGGCCUGAUUUGUAUUCGAUUUGUUGGGUCGCACUGCGGAAAAACCUCGGCUCGGGGCCCUGCCUCUGAUGAAGCCUGUGUUGGUAGGGACAUCUGAGACUGUUGAUGAAUGCCAACGGCUCUGAUGGCGGUGCUUGCCGAGUUGCCGAGCGGGUUUCUGUUAAUGCCUUCUGCUCUUGCCUCUUCCCGUCUCUCAGUAAGGCCACGUGAGCCUCUAAAUGGCUGCAUUCCCCAUUGCAGCAUUAGUGCCCUCAGAAUGCUCCUGUGAAAUUUUGAGUGGUGUAGUAAAAGACCUGCAAACAUGAUGGGGAGACGGCAAUGAUUAGAUGUGGGGAAAAAACGAAUUUUGGGAGUUCUUUGAUGGCCUAGCAGGUUGAGGCUCCUGCAUUCUCUGCGCUGUGGUUCUGGCUGCUGCUGUGCCGCGUAGGUUCGAUCCCCGGACCAGGAAUGCCCAGACACUAUACUGCAUGUGUGGCAAAAAAGAAAAUACAAAAGAAAAAAAUCUAAUUUUGAAAAUCCCUAAUCUUUUCUAGGAAUGGUGCUAGGGAUGAAUGCAAUGUGGCUUUUGAUGGCUUCUGAUGGGCAGGUAAGAAACAGCUAAAUGGAGAAGAAUGGGAUCUGCUUAGGUGAUUUUUUUGUUAAGCCUAUGAUGGUUAAAGAGUAGUGGGCAGAAGGAAUUUCUGAAAAAUUCAAUUCUGAGGCUUAAAUUCUUAAGAUAUUAAUGGUUAGCUUAGCAACGCAGUAUGUUUCAUUAGAUUUCCUUUGUUUUCUAGCUAAGCGCCAAAGAUAUGAGAAUCGCUGCUGGGGUGAGUUAUAGAAAUUCCCUCCACCAGGGGUGUUAGGUUGAAAUUCCUUUGUGCCAUAAUGAUGACAUUUUAUUUGCUACUCUUGACAGUGAGGAUGACGAGAAUCCUUACCACCAUUAUUCUAACUGAGGCACACAAAACAGUGGUUUAGAGGACAUAGAAAUUGCUCCUAAGCUUACAUGAAACUGUUUCUUCCCAGGUUGUAAAGCGCAAGCUUAACACUGUAUUUGUGGGCAAAAAGGUGAGAAACCUUUUUAAAGUCUAUAUACCCAGUGCUGUCCAAUUCUUUGUAUUUUUAGGGGUUGACAAAUCACCAAAUCAAUGUUGAUGCUUAAAUUAGCGGUUUGCUCCCCUUUUCAAACCUGAAAUUCUGCACCUUAGUUUUAUACUUAACUUGCAGGGAUCUGAAGAAACAGAUACUGUGAUGGUUGCAUAGUUCAACAGAUUGAAUCGUGAAAGAGAGAACAUUUGACUGAGUGUCUGGGUUAGGAAAACUUUGGCUAAUAGCAUAAGCAAAGUACCACUUCUAAUCUGACUUCUAUUUUUGUAGGUGCUAGGCAGAGUUAGCUGAAAGGUGAAGAGGUAAGUAAAAUUGUAAUUGAACUAAACAUUGGUGACUGGGCAAAGAUGACAGAAUGCCUCUGAUGGGUUUUUAGGACUGCCUUUUAAUACACGUGAAGCAAUCCUACCAUGAAGUGCUUGGACAGUGCUGAAUGCAUUAAGGCCAAAUCCUUGUCUUGUUACCAUAAGGUGUAUUGCUUUGGAAGAGCAGCCUGUGUGAUGAUAAGCAUAUACUGACUGAACAUGAAGGUCUUAUAUUAGCUCUAUCUGAUUUCAGGCAUUUUUUAGGUUUCUGGGGAAUAAUUCAUCUUUGACUACUGUAAAACCACUCUUUAUUUCUUUAGGUGAACUUGUCUGACAUGUCUGGACCAGCCUUUUUAGUGGGUAAGCAUUAAUGUUUAAAGCAAAAUUUAGUAGGCUCAAAACUUAGGGUAAUGCUGACAAGGUAGAAUGCCUAAGCUAAUUUUGUAUGUUUGAUUUGCAAACGUAUGUUGAGCAUGCUUUAGCAGGGUUUUUGUAAUGAUGUUGAGCAAAUGUCUGACCUGAAAUGAGCAUGUAGACAAAUCUAACACUGAAGGACCCUGUGACAAAAAUAAAUGAGAAUUUAAUGUAUGAUUGACCUUUUAGUGAAAGUGUCAUUUCCUUUAUAGGUACCCGGUAUUAUCUGUGGAUGGCUUGUUUGGGGUAAGACAUGAAAACAGUUCUUUGGCUCUUGGCACUUGGGGUUUUUGUUUUUAUAAUGUGCUAGUCUUAGUAAUUGUGAUGGUGUUUUCUGGUGUUGGACAGUUGGAGUAUUGAAGCUAUUUUGAAAUGUGUCUGAAGAAAUAAUUUUUUUCAGGUGCAGAUUUUGAGGACCUUUUGUAUAAAGGUAUGUAUGUAUUUUUAUCAAUUGUACUAGUUAGUAAGCAAAAUGCUGUUAGUGAUGAUUUAUAAAAUUAAACAGAUGGGAAUCUCUCUGAAAAAUAAUGAAGAUUUUAAAAAACUGAAACAGUGUUAAGAAGUUUUUUAAAAAUUAUAUUUCUACCUAUUAAAUUUCAUUAAGUUUCAUUAAAUUCUGCAGGUGUGAAGAGGCCUUGGCUACAAGGCAUUGAUUGGAACAUGCCUUAAAAGGUAUUGUAGCCUUAAGUUAGGUUUCUGUUUUAUGUGAUUUUUUUUUUUAAGCCGAUACAAUGAUGAUAACAUAGUUCAGCAGACUUGACAGUGAUGAGCAAAUAACUGUCUUUCGCUCCUAUCUGAUGUAUCUGGCUGUAACAAUUCUGUUUAUACAGUUUCUCAGAAAUGUUAAUGGAUUUGGAUAAGCCUAAUGACUAAUGGAGAUGUCCUAUACUAUUAAACUUAAGUCAUAGUCAAGCUUAGGGUUACCAAGAGGGAAACUGAAGGCACACUACAUACAAGGUAGCUAACCAGGGACCAACUAUAAUAGCACAGUGUGGUCUACUCAGUGUUAACCUAAAGCUAAUACAACUUAAUUCAACUAUACUCCAAUAAAAACAUUAAAAUUCCAGAAUUACCAAUUGACAUUUAGAUGAAGACAAGGCUGACAUUCUUGUGAGGAAGUUUUUAUGGUAUAUAAUGUACAUAAUGCCAGAUGACUUGUUUAGUUGAUUAUUUUAGAAUCAUUUUUUAGAUCGGCUUGGGAUUCAUAGCAAAGUUAACCACAUACCAUGCACACAAAAUCUAGCACUGGAAUAGUACGUUGGGGUUCACUCAUGUUCUGAGUGGGGACAAGUGCUGACAAACACAACAUACAAAAUAUGUUCACUGUCCUAAAUUUUUUCACAUUUUCAAACAGGCAGAUCUUCUGUUACCCUGAAGAUUUCAAAGUAAGUCAGCCUUUUAUAUAUAGUUAUUAUCUGUAUGUUUGAAUGUAACCAGUGAUGUGAUGAUUCUGCCAAAUGAAUAAGAUGAUAUCACCCAUAAACCGUUCCAUUUUGAUUCUGAGGUUACUAACAAGUAUCACUUAAGUCUUGGGUUAUUUUACUGUGAUCUAACAUGUUCUUUCCUUUUUAGGGCAUUUAUGAGCAGCAGUCAAUGCAACUUAACCAAUUGACAGGUGAGGCUUGAAAAUAUUAGUAUUCUCUUGUUCUAGAAUACAUGAUGAUCUCACCCUAACUUGAACUCUCUCACUGAUUAUGUGUGAUGAUGAUCAAAGAUCUGAUAUUCUGUUUGCCAAUUGCAGUUAGGACUGAAACAAGGAAAUGGGAACUAAAAAUUGCUUCUUUGUUUUUUUGCAGGUAGCUGGAUGGAUGCUUGUGGGAUGGAUAGAAGAAAAGUAAACAACUUUGUAUUUUAAUAAAUGUUUUUUACUUA